rnacentral:sRNA from 1 species
GGAUGUGUGUUCAGUUUCACUGGUUGGCUGUCUCCUUCUUGGUGGCUAUGAUUAAUUUGGACCAUCUGGCAAGCCGGGCUGGGAACCCUUUCACCCUUCUGUUUGCUCACACUGAGCUGUGUGCUCAGUGAAGAGAAUGACCUUCUCAGGUAGCUGGAGGAUUAUUCCUAGGUCUAGAAUAUUUUGAAAGGUAGGAAAAAAUAAAGUAAAUCAUCCAUAAUCCCAUAACUCAAAUUUUAACAGGUUAGUGUAUUU